rnacentral:lncRNA from 1 species
AGCAAUUAUAUGAACAAGUGAGAUCAUUGAUGUUAGUCUAUAAAUCAUUUACCUGAAGAUCACCGACUUUGAUUCCAAACAAGUACUAUAUAGAAUUAAACUGGUUCCUUGUAUUUUAUCUGAUUAUCUCUACCAGUGACUGGUAACGAGUGUGACUCAGAUGCCCGUAUGUUCCAAGAGAGAUAACAAGCUUACACAGAAAAC